rnacentral:rRNA from 1 species
GACGAACGCUGGCGGCAUGCCUAAUACAUGCAAGUCGAGCGAACAGAUGAAGUGCUUGCACUUCUGACGUUAGCGGCGAACGGGUGAGUAACACGUAAGGAAUCUACCUAUAAGCGGGGGAUAACAUUCGGAAACGGGUGCUAAUACCGCAUAAUAUCUUCUUCCGCAUGGAAGAAGAUUGAAAGACGGCUCUGCUGUCACUUAUAGAUGACCUUGCGGUGCAUUAGUUAGUUGGUGGGGGAAUGGCCUACCAAGACGAUGAUGCAUAGCCGACCGGAGAGGGUGAUCGGCCAAAUUGGGACUGAGCAACGGCCCAAACUCCUACGGGAGGCAGCAGUAGGGAAUCUUCCGCAAUGGGCGAAAGCCUGACGGAGCAAUGCCGCAUGAGUGAAGAGGGCCUUCGGGUCGUAAAACUCUGUUAUAAGAGAAGAACAAAUUGUAGAGUAACUGCUACAGUCUUGACGGUAUCUUAUCAGAAAGCCACGGCUAACUACGUGCCAGCAGCCGCCGUAA